rnacentral:rRNA from 1 species
ACCAACGACCAUACAAUACUGAAUAUCUCGGUUCACCUCCGAUCACCGAAAUUAACCGGCGCCGGGCGCGGUUAGUACGUGGAAGGGGGGACGGCUUGCGAACGCUGCUGGUUUUUUGCC